GCAGCGGUAGUUCAGUUGGUUAGAAUACCGGCCUGUCACGCCGGGGGUCGCGGGUUCGAGCCCCGUCCGCUGCU
rnacentral:tRNA from 1 species